ACUGAAUGUUUUAAAUUGUGCAACAGUCUUAGCAAGAAAGGAUCACUAGGAAUGGUUACUCAGCUUGGAAAACGAAUGCACGGAUCAAGUCAGAAACCAAGACGGAGGCACAAGACCCCUGCAGCCAGGUAUUUCAAAAGUCUAUGCUGCCAUCGUGGAUCAUUGGGACUUCUGCAGGAAUCAGGCAAGCUGGUUUGACUAGCAUCCCCCCUGGUCCCCUUCCAAACAGUUCUGUACUGGACAGCCAGACUGGAGCCUGAUGCUUUUUACAGUUCACAGCAAGCCUCGGAAAAUGAACUUCAUCAUGGAGCCAAAACAAGUAUUCUCUGGACUGGAAAGACUCAACUUUAGAAAGAUAUCACUUUCUUUAAAGUAAAUUCAAAUGUGCUUGAAUAAUUAUGGGAAAAAUAAUAGUGUGGUUUCCCUACAAUCAUUCUUACAUUAAAUGCUGUACAUCAAAAUCAAAAUUAUUUUUAUGCAUGAUGGGCAGUUUCCCACUAACAAUUUUCUAAAUUGCCUAAUAAUUUUAUGUAGCAUAAUUACAAGACUCCUGCUUGUGUAUUUUUCCUUCUCUUUGCUUUCAUCUGAAUACGAAUUAAGAGUAAUCACUAGCGAACCUUUAUGGUAGAUGUUUACAAUGUAAUGUUGCAACGGAACUAUAUAAAAUGAACCUAACAGGAAAGCCCUUGAAAUACUUCUUCCAUUAACAAAAGGACAUGCAACCAUAUGAAGGAAAAUUUCCAGACUAAGAGAUUUUUCUGCAUAAAGUGGGUGAAUAUGUGAAGGCAGAUGAUUGCUCAUCAAUCAUUUUCCUUUCUAAAACUGCUGAACACGGGGCACCAGGAUGGCUCAGUGGGUUGGGCUUCUGCCUUCAGCUUGGGUCAUCAUCCCAGGGUCCUGGGAUGGAGCCCCACAUCUGGCUCCCCGCUCAUUGGGGAGCCUGCUUCUCCCUCUUCCCCAUACUUGCACUCUCUCAGUCACUAUCACCAUCUCUCUCAAAUAAAUAAAUAAAAUCUUAAAAACAUAAAACAAAAAACUCUGCUGAACAUCUCCUACCUUAUGAUCCACUAUUAUGUGCAAAUCAACAUUUGUAAAUCCAAACUCUCUAUGAAUGUUUCCCACUGUGAUAGUUAAUUUUUUGUCAAUCUGGUUAGACUACAGUACCCAGUUGUUUGGUCAAACACUAGUCUGGAUGUUCCUAUAAAGGUCUUUUGUGGAUGUGAUUAAUGUUUAUCAUCAGUUGACUUAAUGGAGAUUACCCUUGAUUAAAGUGGGUGGGUCUCAAUCCAAUCAGUUGAAGGCCUUAAUUGUCAACACUGGUUUCCUAAAAAGAAGGAAAUCCGCCUCAAGACUGUAAUACAGGACUCCUGCCUGAGUUUUGAGCUCAAAAGAUAGCUGUAUAGAUUUUGGACUUGUCGACCCCUACAAUGACAUGAACUAAUUCCAUAAAACAAAUCUCUCUCCACACACACACACACACACACACACACACACCUUAUUGGUUCUGUUUCUCUGGAGAACCCUCACUGUUAUAUCCACAUUUUAUGCCUUCUUCUCUUUAUGAUUUUGGCAAUAUCUAGCAUUAAGAAUAUGGUAUCUUUCUUUUUUUUUGUUGUUUUUUGAAAAUGUAGUCUUUAUUCUGGUUGUCAUAUACCCAGUUCGGUAUCAGAGUGGUUAUUUUAGAAGUAGAGAGGAUAAAGAUAUGGGGGAAAACAUAGCAA